GACGAACGCUGGCGGCGUGCUUAACACAUGCAAGUCGAACGGAAAGGCCCUGCUUUUGCUGGGUGCUCGAGUGGCGAACGGGUGAGUAACACGUGAGUAACCUGCCCUUGACUUUGGGAUAACUUCAGGUAACUGGGGCUAAUACCGGAUAGGAGCUCCUGCUGCAUGGUGGGGGUUGGAAAGUUUCGGCGGUUGGGGAUGGACUCGCGGCUUAUCAGCCUGUUGGUGGGGUAGUUGCUUACCAAGGCUUUGACGGGUAGCCGGCCUGAGAGGGUGACCGGCCACAGUGGGACUGAGAUACGGCCCAGACUGCUACGGGAGGCAGCAGUGGGGAAUAUUGCACAAUGGGCGGAAGCCUGAUGCAGCAACGCCGCGUGCGGGAUGACGGCCUUCGGGUUGUAAACCGCUUUCGCCUGUGACGAAGCGUGAGUGACGGUAAUGGGUAAAGAAGCACCGGCUAACUACGUG
rnacentral:rRNA from 1 species